UCUGUUUCCUCACAUAAGGCUCCAGGUGACAAAUUGACAAAAGAGAUUCUCUCUUCACCUUUGUAUUUCUUCCUCACUAAGACUCCAUGUAUCUAACUUUAUUUUAAAAGGAGGAAAUGGACAUGAGGAAUAAUUUAAAUAAGAUUUUCAUGAAAUAUAUAGUGGUCAGAAUGCAGAAUUUAAACCCUUAAGGGCAGUGGUGAAACAAAUAGCUUAACAUGUGAUUGUGGCUAAGGGAUGGAACUGGCUUUGAUUGAGGACCUCUGAGAUCCCAGGAAGACUGCCAGCUGUACUCUCCCUCCAAUGUAGAGAGAAGGUUUUUACAAUGAGAAAAUGUAGGGAUCCAAAUAUAUUAUUAAAGUUUUAUUUCAAAUAUGUAAAAAAUGAUUAUUUUAUAUAUCAGUCCUAUCACUGGUAGUCAUCACAAAAAUUCAUAAGUUCAACAAAGCAAGAGUUUGCCUUAUUGUCUGCUGUUCGUUCAUACCUCACUUUGACUGAUGAUCAAGUCAAUGGUUUGCUGUUUUCUGUGUUACCAAGUAUUGGGGGUUGGUGACAUUCAAGGUUCUUUGAAGAUUCUUUAUUUAAAAUUUUAAAAAUCUCAUUAUUAAUCCUGCUGCCCGUCACUUGACAGCAGUUCUAAACCAGAUACCCAGACUUUCCUAGAGAUAAAUAUAGACCUUUAUCUUUUUGUGGCUGUAUAGCAAGGCUCUUUUAUACAACAUGUGGCUCCAUAUGUGUAUCUGAGAAAUAGCUGCUCAUGGAUGAUUCAGUCAGAAUGUUUGACGAGUAAGAAGGAUGAUAGUUCAUCUGCAUAGGAGCUG
rnacentral:lncRNA from 1 species